GCAGAUUCUUGGGCCAUUUCCAGCCUCAACAAGGCAAACCUCCUCUUGUGGAAGUUGGACUGAGAUCAGCAUUACAAUAUUGGCCGCCAAGGAACUCUAAGUGAAGAAACUGGAAGACUGAUGCAGAAGCAAAGCAUUUCAAGAAAAAUUUCCUCCAACUGAGGGCAAGAAGGGGCCUACACCACUGACAGCCAUUGCCAUGCAGAAACGGUCUGCUGUUGUGAUGGCCGAAGGAAGAGCAAGGAGGGGGAGGAGGGAUGGCAGAGGAGGUUAACAUCUAUAGCUUUUAUUAUGAAGCUAAGCUUCUAGACACACAUCUGAUCUGGUAGUUAUUUGUAUGAGUUGACAAGACAUUCGACAUGAAGCUAUUAGAAUACACCCCGUUCGACUGUGUAAAUGUGUUCUUUGAUCAACCAAACCUUGGUGAAUGUACAAUCAGGGGGAGCCUUGAUGCCUUCUCAUGUAAGAGUAAGAUCCACAAAAUUUUGAUAACUUGAGUCCAUUACAUCAUGACAAUAGGGUCAAGCUCCACUUUAAUUUGCAGGCAAAGCAUGCAGGAAAUGAUUGUUGGCUUUCAAUAAGCUUUGAAUAUGAGAUACAUACUUUCCAUCAGCCUAUGAUUUACGACAACUGCUUUUCUUUUAGCGCUGAUGUUGAUAAGUAGGCAUUCACGUGUUAGUUAUAUAUAGUUCGUAUUACCAAAUAUGUAGUUCAUGACUUGUUCUCAUUGACGUGAUAUUUCGAGUUCUAGUUGACAUAUCUUGGAUACAGUUAUACGAAACGAGGAAUUAUAGGGUGCGUUGCAAAACAAAUGUUUAAUAUAUCCAAAACAACAAAAAGUAUUUAAACCUAUAUAUACCAUCCAAUGCAUUUUAUAGUUAUCCGUAUUGCCAGAUAAUUCUCAAUUCGAUCCCUAACAAAGCUGUAGUAGCCAUUUAUUUGCGACAUAUGAAUAUGCAUCGAACCAUAGUCAGUCGUUUAAAACCCUCAAUGCCGCUCUAAUUUCAGCCGGUAUGUUUCCAGCUGCUUCAUUGUUUUUUAUCGUCAGCAUCUGGACCAACAGGUUCUUUCUGAGCUGUAUUGAAUCCUAGAAAAGAUGGAAAAAUAGUAAUUUAUAAAUUGCUGGAAAAAAUCGCACGAUAAACCUCGUUAUUGUGUACUUACGUGAGUGGUCUUCCUACCAGAAUCAGUAGUACCAUUCUGGUGGGCCAUCUCCUGUAGGACAAGGAAAGCGGAGUCUUUGCUGUUACAAAAAAAAGAAA